UUACUUGAGAAUGCUCUGGGUACCUAACUAUGGAAGAUAGAAUAAAAAUUGCAACAACAAAAUCCUAACUCUAAUAGAAUACUAACUAAAUUUUAAUUAGACCAUAACAAUGGUAAGCAAGCUUUAAUCAUAUUCAAAGAAAUCUCAAAGGAAUUACAAAGAAAUAAUAAGAAAUCUUAAAGAAAUAUUAUAAUGCUUACAAAUAUAUCUCAAAUACAUCUCAAUUCAAUCCUAAUUCAAUCCUAGUUAUAAUCCUAUUGGACUUCAUUCAAACUUUAGGCCAAAAACUAAGUAAAACUUAAAUCUUAAACAAAUCCUAAUAAAAUUCUAAAUCCUAAAUCAAAUCCUAAUCAAAUCCUAAUCCUAAACCAAACUCUAACCAAAUCCUAAAUACUAAACUAAAUUUUAACCAAAUUUUAAACCCUAAAUCAAAUCCUAAUCCUAAAUCAAAUCCUAAUCAAAUCUUAAACCUUAAAUUAAAUCUUAAUCAAAUCCUAAAUUAAAUCCUAAUUGAAUCCUAAAUUCUAAAUUAAAUCCUAAUCAAAUCUUAAAUCCUAAAUCAAAACCUAAUCAAAUCCUAAAUCCUAAACCAAAUCCUAACUAAAUCUUAAAUCUUAAAUCAAAUCCUAACCAAAUCUUAGUAAUUCUUACAAUAGAUUUAAAUCUCAAUUAAUAAUGAAUGAAUCAUUGAUCUUAACUCAAAAUUUGCAUACUUCUUAAAAAUUAAAUUGACAAAAAGCACAAAAAAUUUGAAAAGGAUUGAAAUUACCAAAUAGAUGAAAGCCUCAAAAACGUGCUUAGGUGUUGGGUGGCCUCCUUCUCUGACCUUGAUGCCAAUCUCCUAAAGCCAAUAUCUCUCUUUUUCACCAUUCGAUUGAUCUCAAUAUUCUCAUAUGUAUAGAAAAACAAGUCUAAUAUCCUCACAUAUAAAUUUCACUCCAAUCCAACUAGUAGAUUAUAAGAAAUCUCAAAAAUCCUCACUAGAUUUAAAAUUAUACUUUUUCAAACCUUGAUCCACCUAAACCUCAAUAAUCCUCAAUUCAACCAUUAGAUCGAGCUAAAAUUCAUAUUACAUAUUAAGCACAUCUAUGACCAUUAACUUACAAAAUUUCACUUAGAGAUCUGUUACAAAAUUCUUAAAAUCACCUAAAACGUCAAUCUUAUUUUAUUUCAUAAAAAUCCUAGU
rnacentral:lncRNA from 1 species